GAUGAACGCUGGCGGCGUGCCUAAUACAUGCAAGUCGAGCGAACGGACGAGAAGCUUGCUUCUCUGAUGUUAGCGGCGGACGGGUGAGUAACACGUGGAUAACCUACCUAUAAGACUGGGAUAACUUCGGGAAACCGGAGCUAAUACCGGAUAAUAUUUUGAACCGCAUGGUUCAAAAGUGAAAGACGGUCUUGCUGUCACUUAUAGAUGGAUCCGCGCUGCAUUAGCUAGUUGGUAAGGUAACGGCUUACCAAGGCAACGAUGCAUAGCCGACCUGAGAGGGUGAUCGGCCACACUGGAACUGAGACACGGUCCAGACUCCUACGGGAGGCAGCAGUAGGGAAUCUUCCGCAAUGGGCGAAAGCCUGACGGAGCAACGCCGCGUGAGUGAUGAAGGUCUUCGGAUCGUAAAACUCUGUUAUUAGGGAGGAACAUAUGUGUAAGUAGCUGUGCACAUCUUGACGGUACCUAAUCAGAAAGCCACGGCUAACUACGUG
rnacentral:rRNA from 1 species